rnacentral:rRNA from 1 species
GAUGAAUGCUGGCGGCGUGCCUAACACAUGCAAGUCGAGCGGCAGCGGGUUCUGCACUAUCAACUUGAAGCCUGGACGCGGGGAUUUCCGAAGGGAAGUCAGCCGCAUCAUUUCCAAAGGAGUGAGUGUCUGGGGUGAUUUCAAACUGAUAGUGCAGAAUGCCGGCGAGCGGCGAACGGCUGAGUAACGCGUAGGAAUUUGCCCCAAAGUGAGGGAUAACUGCCCGAAAGGGUAGCUAAUACCGCAUAUGGUCUUCGGAUUAAAGGAUUUAUCCGCUUUGGGAGAAGCCUGCGUUGGAUUAGGUUGUUGGUGAGGUAAUGGCUCACCAAGCCGACGAUCCAUAGCUGGUCUGAGAGGAUGAUCAGCCAGACUGGAACUGAGACACGGUCCAGACUCCUACGGGAGGCAGCAGUGAGGAAUCUUCCACAAUGGGCGAAAGCCUGAUGGAGCAACGCCGCGUGAAGGAUGAAGGCCUUCGGGUUGUAAACUUCUUUUAUGAGUGAAGAAUAUGACGGUAACUCAUGAAUAAGCACCGGCUAACUACGUGCCAGCAGCCGCGGUCAUACGUAGGGUGCAAGCAUUAUCCGGAGUGACUGGGCGUAAAGAGUUUGCGUAGGCGGUAAGUCAAGUGAAUAGUGAAACCUGGUGGCUCAACCAUACAGACUAUUAUUCAAACUGGCUUACUCGAGAAUGGUAGAGGUAACUGGAAUUUCUUGUGUAGGAGUGAAAUCCGUAGAUAUAAGAAGGAACACCAAUGGCGUAGGCAGGUUACUGGGCCAUUUCUGACGCUAAGGCACGAAAGCGUGGGGAGCGAACCGGAUUAGAUACCCAGGUAGUCCACGCCGUAAACGAUGGAUACUAGCUGUUGGAGGUAUCGACCCCUUCAGUAGCGAAGCUAACGCGUUAAGUAUCCCGCCUGUGGAGUACGGCCGCAAGGCUAAAACAUAAAGGAAUUGACGGGGACCCGCACAAGCGGUGGAUUAUGUUCUUUAAUUCGAUGAUAACCGAAGAACCUUACCAGGGCUCGACAUCUAGGGAAGGUCUGCGAAAGUAGACUGUGCCUUUUGGAACCCUGUGACAGGUGAUGCAUGGCCGUCGUCAGCUCGUGUCGUGAGAUGUUAGGUUAAGUCCUUCAACGAGCGCAACCCUUGCAAGUAGUUGUAUUUUUCUACUUGGACUGCCCCGGUAACGGGGAGGAAGGAGGGGAUGAUGUCAGGUCAGUAUUUCCCUUACGUCCUGGGCUAGAAACGUAAUACAAUGGCUAGUACAAUGCGCAGCGAAGCCGCGAGGUGAAGCAAAUCGCAUCAAAGCUAGUCCCAGUUCGGAUUGGAGGCUGAAACUCGCCUCCAUGAAGUCGGAAUCGCUAGUAAUCGCNAAUCAGCAAGUUGCGGUGAAUACGUUCCCGGGUCU